UUACUUUUUUUCCUUGUAUUUUCGUUAAGCUCAGAAACUUUACAUUCCUUUCUUGUGAAGAACUUGUGUACUUCUGUUUUUAUUAGUGUGGCUGCUUGUGCGAUUAUAGGUAUUAUUAAACUAGACGUUUAAUUUUCAUACAUCAAAGAAUAUGUACAACAUAAUAAUGGUUUAUGUUUUGUACACUAAAUGUGAUUAUAUUGUCAAGAGAAGAAUAAUACAUGCACUUUCUCCUUGUCCUUUACACCUCUUAUCUCGCCAACACCCCAAUCCUUGAACCAUUGCCACGUUAAUGGAUUUGAAGUUGGAACUUCAUUAAGUGAUUCAUCAACAUUCACCAAAAAAACAUUUUCCAUGGUCGUCACAAAGCAUAGAGAGGUAGACAAGCCCUUGUGGAUCUCCUUAUCUGGUCAACGACCACCUAUAAAUUAACGAGACAUCCUCUCUCUUUCAUCUUUUCAAAGAACAAAAAAAUAAAGGUUGCUUCAUUGAAGAGCCUAACCAGAGAAGGUAUAACAAAAAUGGUGAUUGAAUUGGGUUUGGUCACUCUAUCGAGUGGAUUAGAAGAAAGGAAGAGUUUCUAAAGGAGGAAAAAGAUCCAAAAAUGACUUGGGAAGUCUAUCAUGGAAAGUAAUUCGUUUGGCUUUUGGUCUCUGGUAAUUAUCCCAAAAAGAUUAAAAUUACCAGUGGCGCAUGCCCUACUAGUGGUUUAUCACCAGUGGCUGCUGGCUUUAAUUUGGUGCCCUCAAAUGUGAUUUGUGGUCUCUCUGCAGUCCCACUAUGAAGAGGACCUUGGAGAGACAUUCUCUGAUUAAAAGGUGUUAUUUUGCCUUUUAGAGUCGGUUUUCUUCUGGGCAUUGGUCUUGACACUAAAAUUUUUAGAACAGAUGGAAGGGAAAUGAAUAUCUUUUGAUGACCUUCGCUAGCCUCUUCAUACUAUCUAUAAAUAGGAUUCUUUUUCUUAGAACUCUUGGACACAUUUGUACAACCUAUAGAACAGAUACUGCUCAAGGAAGGUCGUUAAUAAUAAAUUCUUUUUCAUUACUAAAGUCUGUGGAUCCCCUCGAGUACUUCUUGGGACCUCAACAUCCUUCAGUAUAAUCUAAAAUGUUUUGGAGAUUUAACAUUAUAAAAUCUUACUGCCCUUGCUUUCAACCACCUUCAUGAUAAAUGGAUGUAGACGUGUGAUUAUUCUGCGAAUUUCAAUGUUGAAGCCAUUUUCUCAUAAUUUAGAAAAGAAGCUUCCAUUCUUGACCCUAUUACAUGCAAUUGGGAAUCCCUAGGAAGAGCUUUAUGGAACCAUAGUUUUGUAGUUUUAAGAUUUGGUAGCUGAGCUUGAAAGGGAGAGAGUAGAAUUAUUUCUGAAUCUUAUUUGGAACCUCUCACCCUCGUAAUUCUUUUUACAAUGAGAUUGUUUCUUAGAAAAAGAAAAGAAA